GCUUGUGAAGACGGGUUCAAAAAAUGGCAAGGGAAAGCUUUUGACUGCUAGAACCACUAAAAAACUAUCACCACUGGAGGUGAAAAAAACUGUGCAGUUUAGUCAGCGUGUAGCAGGUACUAAUAAUUCGGCAGGAGCUGACAGCAAGCAGAUAGUUCCUGAAAGGAAGACAGCAGCAAUAAAUGUUCCAAAUAGUUUCCUUUUGCAGCCUAGAGAGGUUCAAUCAGCGCUGCA
rnacentral:misc_RNA from 1 species